GAAGAAAAGAAAUUUAUUGAGCCACAGUUCUGGAGACCAGAAGUCCAAAAUCAAGGUGUCAACAAGGCUGGUUCCUUUUGAGAGCUUAAUUUAGGGAAGGAUCUAUUCCAAGCCUCUUUCUUUGGUUUUGUAAAUGGCCAUCCUCUCCCUUUAUCUCUUCACUUUAUCCUUCCCAUGAGCAUGUCUGUGUCCAAAUUUACCUUUCUUAUGACAACACCAAUCAUAUUGAAUUAGGGCCCACUUUAAUUACCUCAUUUUCACUUGACUAUGUCUGUAAAGAACCUAUUGCCAAACAAAGUCACAAUCUGAGGAACUGGGGGUUAGAACUUCAACAUACAAAUUUUGGGGAACAAAAUUCAACCUAGCAGAUAUGAACAUCUUUAAUAAUUAAGGUUCUAGGCAAAGUUCUGGAAAAAGACUCGCUCUAGUAAAUAUGCUAGCAUAGACAAGUUCCUUGUGUUUUCCAACAGGUCUGCUUCAGAAUCAAUCCUUACAACUUCAAGAACAGGAAAAACUCUUAACAAAGAAAGGUCAGCAAAUUUAAUACCACAAAUUCUAAAAUAUUCCUCUUUCCUUGGCUGCCUAGAGGCAGGGUAUGGGCUACAUAACCUCUUAGCUCCAGUUCUGGGAGUCUGUUAAGUCAGGGAUGUUGGGGAGCUUUUUAAGGACUAAUCAUUGGCUCCGAGUACACCUUAACUAGUUAGCCUUCUAUCCUGAGAGGCAUAUAAGCUGUGAAAAAAGGAUUUCUGCUCUCUCUGAAAACAUGUUUGUGUUGAACAUUUCAAUAAAUUGAUUUUGAACUCAGGAUUUCAUGUCAAUUUUUGCACACUUGAUUUUCCAAAUCACAUCUAACUUCCCAGCUCCAAAUCAUGUAGCAUGCAAGAGUCAACUCAUUCUUAGCCCUAAAUAGUCUGCUUCCCAAGCUUCCUGAGAAUUCCUCAUGUAUCUGGAGGAGGCAAUAACUCCUCACUUAUCCACUACACAUGGCCUUUUGUUUUCUCCUCACAAUCACUGGGUAUAAUAUAAUAGACAAUGCAGAUAUUAUUAUGCCCACUAGUAUGGAUAUGAAAAUGAUGGUCUAUGGUCACCCAAAUUAAGGAUAGAGCUAAGACAACAAUCUAGAACUUCUGACCCCUAGUCCAGUGCUCUUUUCACCAAGACGAAGGCUGCAAGGUGUCUGAAAAACCAUCUUUAACCACACGAAGAUAAAUUUUAGGAUAAUGGUGCUAUUUUCACCACUUUGAAAUGAGGACAUAAGAUUAUAAUGUUGAAGGAUCCAGCAAGCCUACCUGACAAAGUAGAAAGGAUGUGACAUACAACCAAAGAAAUUCAAUGUAUUCACUAAAAGCAUCUGGCCUUAGAAAAGACUGGGGAUACAAAGAAAAGUAAGAUGCCAACACUGCCCUCAAGGAGCUCAAAUUCCAGCUGUCUGUCCAUGCUGAGCAGGGUCCCAAUGGGAAUUCCUGAAGUCAGAGAAUUCCAUUCCACUCAGUCUAGCCAAGGGCAGGCCUUCCCUUCUUCCCUUCCCUCCCCCAACUCCUAGGGUUUCUCACUAAAUGACAGGGCCCUUCCUCAGUGUGCGUGCCUCACUGUCACUGAGAAUCUGGCUGCUUUUUUAGAUAAGGCUUUGCCUGUGUGGAGUCCAAAGCCCUCCCUUAAUGAAGAGGAGCCUGAGGGUACAGGGAAGGAGAAAGACUGGGAUCUCAGAGACCAGCUGCAAAAGAAGACUUUGCAGCUCCAGACCAAGGAAAAGGAGUGCAGAGAACUGCAUUCAGAGUUAGACAACCUCAGUGACGAGUAUCUCUCCUGCCUGCGUAAGCUGCAACACUGUCGAGAAGAGCUGAAGCAGAGCCUACAGCCGCCUCCCAGAGUAAGAGGGUCCAUCCUCCAGUACAGCCCUAGAUAACGGUGGGAUGAUCCCUUCUUCAGCCAAGUCCUGGAGAGAAAAUUUAUCACCUUAUGCCAAUACCUGGCCAGCCUGUGUCACUCCACUUGGUUUAUACAAUACUGACAGUAGAGCAACCAUGGAAAGAAACACUGGCUCAUGCAUCCAAGCCCAAUUUUCCUGGAACUCUUGAGCCUGGAGGGAAAGACUUGCUAUUAGCUAAAGUAUGAAAGGGUAUUCUUUUAGAGUACUAUGAGCAUGGUGGCAAGGAUAGUGACAUAUGAACAGAGAACAUAAUUUUCCUCAGUUAUUUUCCACCCUUCAUUAUUCAUAUCAGCAUUUAUGUAUCUGGGGCAAGAGACCACUAUUUUUAUCCUAAGGGAGUGACAGAAAGUGGGAGAGACAGUGAAGUAAAAAGCUUUUUCUCCACCACCAACCCAAGGUUUUCCACUGGUCUAGAAUAGCAAGAGGAAGAUUAUUUUUACCUAUAUCUUCUCCUACCAACUCAUGGCCACCUUCUAUCUACCCCUCCUCUCCCUCCACACAGAGGCAAUGUGGCCGAUGGCUCCCGAUGCUGAUGGUGGUGAUUGCUACAGCACUGGCAGUGUUCCUGGCCAACAAAGACAACCUGAUGAUCUGAAUAACUUGUGACAGCUGCCUUGGGUGAAAAGCAAGGAACUCAGUGGAAAACUCAGAAAGUUUGGGUAUUUCAUAGCUUGGGUUUUUCCCCCCAACUGAACUGGAAUUCUGACUUCAUUAUUUUUUUAACCUACUGUAAAUAAACUUCACCUGUUUAGACCAUG